ACGGAGAGUUUGAUCCUGGCUCAGGGUUAACGCUGGCGGCGUGCCUAACACAUGCAAGUCGAACGGGGGCCUCUUUCCCGUAAGGGAGAGGGGAUCCUAGUGGCGAACGGGUGAGUAGCACGUGGGCAACCUGUCCCGAGGUGGGGGAUAACACCGGGAAACCGGUGCUAAUACCGCAUGUUGUCGUCGGUCGCAUGGCCGAUGAAGAAAGCAGCAAUGCGCCUCCGGGGUGGGCCCGCGGCCUAUCAGCUAGUCGGUGGGGUAACGGCCUACCGAGGCUAAGACGGGUAGCUGGUCUGAGAGGACGACCAGCCACACGGGGACUGAGACACGGCCCCGACUCCUACGGGAGGCAGCAGUGAGGAAUCUUCCCCAAUGGGCGAAAGCCUGAGGGAGCAACGCCGCGUGUGGGAUGAAGUUCUUCGGAAUGUAAACCACUGUCGGAGGGGAUGAGAACGGACAGUACCCUCCAAGAAAGCCCCGGCUAACUACGUGCCAGCAGCCGCGGUAAUACGUAGGGGGCGAGCGUUACCCGGAUUUACUGGGCGUAAAGCGCGUGUAGGCGGCUGGCCAAGUGUGACGUGAAAUCUUCGGGCUUAACCCGAAAACUGCGUUGCAAACUGGUCUGGCUAGAGUGCAGGAGAGGGUAGUGGAAUUCCCGGUGUAGCGGUGAAAUGCGUAGAUAUCGGGAGGAACACCAGUGGCGAAGGCGGCUACCUGGCCUGUAACUGACGCUGAGACGCGAAAGCGUGGGGAGCGAACCGGAUUAGAUACCCGGGUAGUCCACGCCCUAAACGUUGCGCACUAGGUGUUGGUCGGAUUGACCCGAUCAGUGCCGCAGCUAACGCAUUAAGUGCGCCGCCUGGGGAGUACGGUCGCAAGAUUAAAACUCAAAGGAA
rnacentral:rRNA from 1 species